GUCCUCCUUUCGGCAGCACGUAUCCUAACCUCGGAACACGGAGAGGGCAAGCAUGGCUCCUGUGAAAGGGUGACAUGCUAAUUUGUGAGGUGUCCCAUUGGACA
rnacentral:snRNA from 1 species